AUAACUGUGAAUGGUAUCACGCAAGGACCUUUCACUCUUGAAUACUUAAAACCAUUCCAUAAGUUUCCAGACAUUACGGACAGUUGAAGGGAACAUUACUUCUACUAUUUCUACAACAAUGGAGUCUGGCCUUCCUCCAAUCCUCAAUGCGCUUGAGUAUUACCUACUUGAACAAUUCACCGAUUCUGCUACAGACCCAUCAGAUGGUACCAUUCUAUUUGAUAAUGGUACACCACAUUUGAUUCUGUGCAAGAACCUGAGUUCAAGUAAAUUAACAGGGGAGAUAUGUCCAUCGCUGGCUCAUCUCCUGGAGCUAGAGUCUAUGUAUGUAUUUUACUGAACUUAUAGUGUCCAAGAUAAUUCAGAAACGCACCCAACCCAUAGCUGCAUGAUAUCUGGUCUAGCAUCUCCUUUUAAAUCCUUCACUCAACACUUCUCUUCCAUGUUUGCAGAUUCUAGUUUUAGGAAGGUCAUGAAGUUUGCAUUCCACAUUUGACAUAUUUCACCCUUUUUCCUGCACUGAUUUAUCAUACAAUGAUUUGACUGGAUCUGUGCCAGAUGUUUUAGCAACUUUGCCAAAAUUGAAAUCCCUAAAUAUAUCGGGAAACAAGCUCAAGGGUCCAAUUCCCCAAUCUCUCAAGGAUAAAUCUGAUCAUGGGUCACUGCUUCUAAGUUUAGAUGAAAACCAAACAUCAUGUCAGAGGGAUCCUUGUGAAGGAAAUCGCAAGAAGUUUAUUGUUCCAGUUGUCGUAUCCAUUAUAGCUGCUGUGGCCCUUGUUAUCUUCUUAAGCGUUCUAUUCAUCUUUCAUAGGAAAAGAAAGAGAAAACAAACUUGUAUUUUCACUCUUUCAUGUCCAUAUAUUAAUUUUCUUUUCCUUCUUUUGGCUGGUUGCACUUUUCUGUAUAAUGUGUUCAGUUUGUUUGAGCUUUAAGUAAAUAUCUUAUUCAUCCAGAAACAAAGAAAGAAAUGAAAAUAAAAAGAUGAAUGCUGUUGCUAA